GAUGAACGCUGGCGGCGUGCCCAAUACAUGCAAGUCGAGCGAACGGACGAGAAGCUUGCUUCUCUGAUGUUAGCGGCGGACGGGUGAGUAACACGUGGAUAACCUACCUAUAAGACUGGGAUAACUUCGGGAAACCGGAGCUAAUACCGGAUAAUAUUUUGAACCGCAUGGUUCAAAAGUGAAAGACGGUCUUGCUGUCACUUAUAGAUGGAUCCGCGCUGCAUUAGCUAGUUGGUAAGGUAACGGCUUACCAAGGCAACGAUGCAUAGCCGACCUGAGAGGGUGAUCGGACACACUGGAACUGAGACACGGUCCAGACUCCUACGGGAGGCAGCAGUAGGGAAUCUUCCGCAAUGGGCGAAAGCCUGACGGAGCAACGCCGCGUGAGUGAUGAAGGUCUUCGGAUCGUAAAACUCUGUUAUUAGGGAAGAACAUAUGUGUAAGUAACUGUGCACAUCUUGACGGUACCUAAUCAGAAAGCCACGGCUAACUACGUG
rnacentral:rRNA from 1 species